rnacentral:hammerhead_ribozyme from 1 species
AUCCAGCUGACGAGUCCCAAAUUGGACGAAACGUUCAUCUUAGAU